AUUUUCUUAGUAUAACUUUAGUACAAAUGACUUCCACUCAUUCAGCCCCAGUUCGACCCUGAGAGAGAAUA
rnacentral:tRNA from 1 species